AGGGAAUUAGCUGAGUGGUUUUAGCAUCAAUUUUACACAUUGGAGACAGAGUUUCGAUUACUCUAUUCCCUA
rnacentral:tRNA from 2 species